ensembl:lncRNA
GGCCAAUACAUCUCCAGUAUAAGAAUCUAUAUUUGUGCAUAGAAAUCUAUUGUGUUUAUCCGUUGAUAAGGAUGUAUGAUGAAGCAGGCUUCCAGACUGUAGAUGCAGGGCUUUGACCCCUACAAGGCAAUGAUUAAUUAACACUCAGCUGUUGUUUUCUUCCUGCAGGUUAUUGAGCCUCCUGGUGGACCUUCCCAGCCCAACCCAAGCACGUGGAUGAGCCCAGCCCUGCUGUUCCAGAAGGUGUGAAGAUUGAACUCCUCCACAUUCCUCCCUUGGGAGCAAGGACAGAGUGAAAUGAAGCUCAGAGAUGUCCACUUUCUGCACUCGGUGGCUGGCUACAACAUAAGUCUUCGCACAGGAUUUAGAGUAACCGGCUGCAUUUGCUUUCCCUGCCUGUGAAUGUGUUUGUUUGCUACUGCCAAGGACACAAAGGGAAGCUACUGCUGCAAGAGGGACAAGAAUGCUACGUUACAUUCCAUUCCAGCUCGCAUGGCGCACAGCCCUGCUGGGGUCUCUCUGGGUCUAUGACAACCUGCCAGGAGCAGGAUGGCCAGCACUGUGUUGGGAACAUCUGUGUCAGAUGUUACGCCUUCCAGCACAACCAAAAGUGCAGCAGAAACCACUCAGUCCUAUUUUCAGUGACAGAUGGUGACCCGACGUCCUUACUCUGCCCAGAUCGCCACCUGAAGAAGGUACAGUUCUCAGGUGAAAGAAGUUGCGCUCGAAGCUUCAUUACACCGCUUUGAUGCUGAAGUAAGAAUUCCCACAGCGAAGAUGGACAGAGCAAGACUGACAGAACCAGCCACAUUUUCAUUAUUAAUAUCAGAACUGCACGCAGUCGGAAAGCAGAAAGGACUGAAGAAUUUCAUAGCCCAAAUACCUACAGAAUAAUAAUAAUAAAAUCCCAGAGUGUCACAGUACAGCCCAAUGUGCCUUUUGGAAAUGCUGCCAUUCCAGAUAGCAGGGGAAACACAAAUCCAGCCCAGUUACCAUGGAAAUGUACAGUAUACCUCCAAAAUGCAAAGCCACCUGGCUGACCCAGAGAACUUCUUUGAGAUGAGCAUGGUAGCCCAAUAGCAAACAGCUGUCAAACAUCUCUGUGAUGACAGACUGCAUGGAAAGCAGAAGCCAGCACCACCAUCAGCUUAGUGAGCUGGAGAUGACCCAGCAAUCCUUUUCUUACACAACCCACCAAAGCUACUGCUACAACCAGUGGAGCUGGUUUUAGCAAGAGUGGAAGAUCUGUGGAGGGAAAGGAAAUGCUCAGAAGCCAAACAAUCUAAUGCAGCAUCUGAAAUGGUGCUGCAUGUCUUUUCAGUUAAAUGACUCUCAAUGCAAUGUUCACCCAGGGGUGUAUUUGUUGAUGGGACAGAGACUUAGGAAAAUGGCACUGGAAAGAAAUCAUCUCCUUGAGCAUCCUGCGGUGCCCAGCAGGAGAGGCCCCAACUGCCUCGUGCCUCGAAGUGGGCGCUGCUGUGCCCACCAGGAACAGGGCAGCCAUCUCAGCGCCAAAGCCAUCCCCACCUCCCACCGGCUGGAUCCAAGCCUGAUCCUGGGCAGCAGUUACACGGUCAGGGCUGCUCUGCUCAGAAACCAACACGAGACAUUACAAAAGGAUUUUUCUGAAGAUGUAAAACAGCACCCAGGGAACAACUCAGGAAGGAGGCAUCGAGAACUAAAAUGCUGGAAUUUGGGAAAGUCUCCAAAACCUCAGAAUUUCAUAUAUAUUUGGUAUAGUAAGUGUAGCAGUGAAUUUAAAUCUCAUUAUCCGUUGCUGCUAAAAACAGGAAUGUAACUGAAAGUUUUGGGCAAUUCCAGCAUCCAUCAUCAGUACUCAGGCAUAGGCCUGAUUUCUCUGAGACUCUGAAGUAAUUUAAUACUGUGGAUUUUAUAAAGUAUACUUAUCCUUCAAUAAAUCCGUAAUAACUGCUUCUUUCAUUGCAUAUUAUGAACUUCCAAGUUACACUGUCAGCUGUUAAGCAGAGUCUCCCACACUUUAGUGAAAGCAAGAAAGCUUCCAGCAAGGAAGUGUCAUGGAGAUGAGGCACUAUGGACUCCACAGAACCACAGACUGGUUGAGGUGGGCAUGGACCAGAGGGACUCCCCCACUCCAGCUCCACUCAGAGCAAGGUGCCCAGGGCUGUCUCCAGGUGGGUUUGGAGAUUUCCAUGGAGAAGAACCCACAGCCUCUCUGGGUACUUGUGCCAGGAGCCCUUACAUUAUAGGAUCUGCAGAGAAACCAUGCUAA